rnacentral:lncRNA from 1 species
AUGCCACCCCAAGCAAGGACUCAGGCAGAGGAGGAGACGGUAUACUCACAGCUGGGGCGCGCACACCCAGUUAAUCUGUUGCCAUGGCAACGCCUAGCUUACCAACCUCUGUGGGGCGAAGUGACUUCCUUCAGCGUCUGGGGGCUCUGGACGUGCACGGUCAUUUCACCACCAGGAAAUGGGAGGGCCCCAUGCCCGCCCCGAUCCCGACCACCAGGAACACAUAGAAAGCAACUCUAUACUCGUCUAACACCAUGUUGGGAGCUAAAAGAGAAAGAAAGGGGUGCAAAACAGAUGAAGCCCCUGCCUGGAUGAGCUUAUGAUCUAAGAGGAGAAACAAGAUGUGCAAACCGCUAAGUGCAGCUUCAUGUAAUGACCAUGAUGAUACACUUUAAAACCAAAACUGACUGUAGUCACUCAAGAGUCAUUUCUUUUUUUAAUGUUUAUUUACUUUUGACAGAGACAGAGCAUGAGCGGGGGAGGAGCAGAGAGAGGGGGAGACACAGAAUCCGAAGCAGGCCCCAGGCUCCGAGCUGUCAGCACAGAGCCCGACGCAGGGCUCGAACCCACGAACUUUGAGAUCAUGACCUGAGCCAAUGUCGGACGCUUAACCGACUGAGCCACCCAGGUGCCCCACUCAAGAGUUAUUUCUAAGGUAAAGGCGGGGAGUGUGUGGUGUAACUUACAUCCAUGGGUAAAUCAAAUCUUUAUGCUACUCACUCCUUCCCCUUAGAAAGACAGGGAGCAGAGGGAUUAAGACCCCUGGUGGAUGCUCGCCGUUCGUGGAGAUUGCAUCAAUGAAUCUUUAGCCGUCCAAGGUAUUCCCGGAAUUAUUUGGGGAGUAGGAAUGAAAGUCUCCCCCUCUGAGAGAAAGGGGAGAGAAGGGUUGGCCAAAACACAAGGCCUGAUAGUGGAAAGACUUUUAAAGACAGUGACGUCCAAUAUUCAGUGUUGAGUUGUUGGCUUUGCUGAUUUGUAAAGGCCCCUCCUCUGCCAAGAAACCUUAAAUAAAACCUGUCCUUCCCCCA